rnacentral:rRNA from 1 species
GAACGAUGAAGCCCUUCGGGGUGGAUUAGUGGCGAACGGGUGAGUAACACGUGGGCAAUCUGCCCUUCACUCUGGGACAAGCCCUGGAAACGGGGUCUAAUACCGGAUAACACUCUGUCCCGCAUGGGACGGGGUUAAAAGCUCCGGCGGUGAAGGAUGAGCCCGCGGCCUAUCAGCUUGUUGGUGGGGUGAUGGCCUACCAAGGCGACGACGGGUAGCCGGCCUGAGAGGGCGACCGGCCACACUGGGACUGAGACACGGCCCAGACUCCUACGGGAGGCAGCAGUGGGGAAUAUUGCACAAUGGGCGAAAGCCUGAUGCAGCGACGCCGCGUGAGGGAUGACGGCCUUCGGGUUGUAAACCUCUUUCAGCAGGGAAGAAGCGAAAGUGACGGUACCUGCAGAAGAAGCGCCGGCUAACUACGUGCCAGCAGCCGCGGUAAUACGUAGGGCGCAAGCGUUGUCCGGAAUUAUUGGGCGUAAAGAGCUCGUAGGCGGCUUGUCACGUCGGAUGUGAAAGCCCGGGGCUUAACCCCGGGUCUGCAUUCGAUACGGGCUAGCUAGAGUGUGGUAGGGGAGAUCGGAAUUCCUGGUGUAGCGGUGAAAUGCGCAGAUAUCAGGAGGAACACCGGUGGCGAAGGCGGAUCUCUGGGCCAUUACUGACGCUGAGGA